rnacentral:sRNA from 1 species
AUAGACACACGCACGUUCCUCCGCGCCGUCCGCACCCGCCUGACGACUGCUCGCUACGUUUUGUUAGCC